rnacentral:rRNA from 1 species
ACAAUGGGCGCAAGCCUGAUCUAGCCAUGCCGCGUGAGUGAUGAAGGUCUUAGGAUCGUAAAGCUCUUUCGCCAGGGAUGAUAAUGACAGUACCUGGUAAAGAAACCCCGGCUAACUCCGUGCCAGCAGCCGCGGUAAUACGGAGGGGGUUAGCGUUGUUCGGAAUUACUGGGCGUAAAGCGUACGUAGGCGGAUUAGAAAGUAUGGGGUGAAAUCCCAGGGCUCAACCCUGGAACUGCCUCAUAAACUU